UACGGAGGAUGCGAGCGUUAUCCGGAUUUAUUGGGUUUAAAGGGUGCGUAGGCGGACGCUUAAGUCAGUUGUGAAAGUUCGAGGCUCAACCUUGGAAUUGCAAUUGAUACUGGUCGUCUAGAGAUUACAUAAGGUAGGCGGAAUUCGUGGUGUAGCGGUGAAAUGCUUAGAUAUCACGAAGAACUCCAAUUGCGAAGGCAGCUUGCCGGGGUAUAUCUGACGCUGAGGCACGAAAGUAUGGUUAUCAAAC
rnacentral:rRNA from 1 species